rnacentral:rRNA from 1 species
UACGUAGGGGGCAAGCGUUGUCCGGAAUCAUUGGGCGUAAAGAGCGUGUAGGCGGCCCGGUAAGUCCGCUGUGAAAGUCCAGGGCUCAACCCUGGAAUGCCGGUGGAAACUGUCGGGCUCGAGUCCGGAAGAGGCGAGUGGAAUUCCUGGUGUAGCGGUGGAAUGCGCAGAUAUCAGGAGGAACACCAAUGGCGAAGGCAGCUCGCUGGGACGGUACUGACGCUGAGGCGCGAAAGCGUGGGGAGCGAACAGG